GACGAACCGUGCAAACGUUGUUCGGAAUCACUGGGCUUAAAGGGCGCGUAGGCGGGUCAUCAAGUCCGGGGUGAAAUCUUUCGGCUUAACCGGAAAAUAGCCCUGGAUACUGGUGGUCUUGAGGGAGGCAGGGGCAGCGGGAACUUCCGGUGGAGCGGUGAAAUGCGUUGAUAUCGGAAGGAACGCCGGUGGCGAAAGCGCGCUGCUGGACCUUUUCUGACGCUGAGGCGCGAAAGCCAGGGGAGCAAACGGG
rnacentral:rRNA from 1 species